rnacentral:RNase_P_RNA from 1 species
GUGGAGGGCCGGAUGGCCGCCCAGCCGGGCCGGUUAAGCCGACACGGCUGGGAGGAAAGUCCGGACUCCGGGAAGCAAUGGUGCCGGGUAACGCCCGGGCAGGGAAACCUGACGGAUAGCGCCACAGAGAACAGACCGCCCAGCCGGCUUGGCUAUGCCAACAGGCUGGGUAAGGGUGAAACGGUGGGGUAAAAGCCCACCGGGGGGCUGGCAACAGUCCCCGCAUGGCAAGCCCCACCAGGAGCAAUGCCAAAUAGGGAUUUCACGAGGGUACGCCCUCAGGGCCGCUUCCGCCCAGAAAUCCGGGUUGGCAGCUAGAGACCGUCUGGCAACAGGCGGUUGAGAUGAAUGGUCAUCCAGUCCCGGAUCAAGGUCCGGGAUGGACAGAAUCCGGCUUAUAGGCUCUCCACGCGA